CAAAUGUAUAAACUCGCAAUAAACACUGAUAAAUGUGCCGGUUUACACAUUGAUUAGUGUUUAUUGCAAGUUUAUACAUUUGUUACUGUAAUGUAGUAGUAAGUAACAAAUGUAUAAACUCGCAAUAAAUACUAAUCAAUGUGUAAACAGACCCAGGUGUGAGGGCCAGCUACACUUACCAGUAUUGACCUUAAAUAAAAAGGUAUUAUGUGACAACACAAUUGUGACUUACGCGUGUCACAGUGUAAUAAUACAUUCCCCCCGUUAUGAUUCUAUAAUUAUUUUAAUGAACUUAAUAUUACGCUUUAAACUAUUUUUGUAUUAUAUAUAAGUAAAUUUUAAUCACCGUUACGUACUUACAGGGGCCAUCGUACUUAUUUUAUUUGAAACAAAUAUCAAAUCACUCGAAAAGUACAAACUUUAAAUUGAACAUUCCAUAAAGUGAUCUCUAUUUUAUUACUUCAUAUUAAUUUAAUAAACAGUAUUUUAAAGGCAGCUCUCAUGAGAAAUAUAACUUUAAAGUAUAAUAAGACACGAGCUUCACCCCUACAUUAGAAAGCAGUUAUUUGCCAUAAGUCAAUCUAAUAUCAAUUUUAUGACAUUACAAUAGGAGUCAUUAUACAAUAGCGAGGCGGGCGAUUAUAUUUAAGAUAUCAAAAACCUAUGCUAGUAGCCAAAUGACUACGAAUACGGUCUAUAGUGAAUAUAAAGUUGUUACACUAGAUGUUUUGGAAACUUGAAAUCUUGUUGUUGACAUAUACAUUAAACAUUCGAGUUAGAGUAGAGGUUUGAGAGUUACGACAACUCAAUCGGGACGCCUUUUGGUACAUGGUGACAUGACAUUACUGUGUCCAAUAAUGCCCCAAAAGGCCGCUGAAGCUCUGUUUUCCUAGGAUAGCGGUGCAUAUAGCGGCCGUCUCCAUACAAAACAAUACGGCUAAAUAUGGAUAAGUAGUAUUUUGUAUGGAGAUAGCCACUAUGAAACCAGAGCUUAACUUUACCUCCUAAGGCCCAGCCGUACAAAAAACAAAGAAUAUUUGCCAGUGAAAUUUGAACCUAUAGUGUAGUAAAUAAAGUUGAUUUAGGUUUGAGCGAAAAUAAACCGAAACAAAACAGAUGCAACUCUUUCCGAUUGAAAAUGAUUUCAUCGAACUUAAAGUACUUUAAAUACGACUGUGAGCAUUACAAGGUUUUUGAAACAGAUAAGACACUCAUAUGGUAUUCAUGUUUUCGUUGCUACUUCAAUGUAAGAAAUUACACCUUUGUUUUACGUAUAUAAUUUUAUAUACUUUAACUAAAAACGUGCCUAAAAUGUAAGACUUUGUUUAUGAUUAUUGGCUUUUAGAAAUCUCCUUGUACCAAAAAUGGCGUCUCGAUCAAAACUAUGUUAUAGCGUAAACUGUUGUUAUGACACAUUUUUAUAAGAUUCCUGACUAACACUUGUUACUCGGCAAAGCGCGUUGUAGUUAUAAAUAUGUAUAGUCUUCAAACCUACAACAGAGAGGUUUAAAACUGUUCUAACUUUUAAUAUAA